GCCUCGGCGGGGUCACGCCCCGGGUGCGUCGCAGCCCCGGAACCAGGCGCCCGCCGGAGGAACCAACCAAACUCUUUCUGUAGUCCCCUCGCGGACGUAUUUCUUACAGCUCUGAGCAAAAAUUCAAAAUGAAUCAAAACUUUCAACAACGGAUCUCUUGGUUCUGGCAUCGAUGAAGAACGCAGCGAAAUGCGAUAAGUAAUGUGAAUUGCAGAAUUCAGUGAAUCAUCGAAUCUUUGAACGCACAUUGCGCCCGCCAGUAUUCUGGCGGGCAUGCCUGUCCGAGCGUCAUUUCAACCCUCGAACCCCUCCGGGGGAUCGGCGUUGGGGAUCGGGACCCCUCACACGGGUGCCGGCCCCUAAAUACAGUGGCGGUCUCGCCGCAGCCUCUCCUGCGCAGUAGUUUGCACAACUCGCACCGGGAGCGCGGCGCGUCCACGUCCGUAAAACACCCAACUUUCUGAAAUGUUGACCUCGGAUCAGGUAGGAAUACCCGCUGAACUUAACCAUAUCAAUGAAGCCCGAGGGAAA
rnacentral:rRNA from 1 species